rnacentral:rRNA from 1 species
GAGUUUGAUCCUGGCUCAGAUUGAACGCUGGCGGCAUGCCUUACCCAUGCCAAGUCGAACGGCAGCACGGGAGCUUGCUCCUGGUGGCGAGUGGCGAACGGGUGAGUAAUGCAUCGGAACGUAUCCUGGAGUGGGGGAUAACGUAGCGAAAGUUACGCUAAUACCGCAUAUUCUGUGAGCAGGAAAGCGGGGGACCUUCGGGCCUCGCGCUCUUGGAGCGGCCGAUGUCGGAUUAGCUAGUUGGUGAGGUAAAGGCUCACCAAGGCGACGAUCCGUAGCAGGUCUGAGAGGAUGAUCUGCCACACUGGAACUGAGACACGGUCCAGACUCCUACGGGAGGCAGCAGUGGGGAAUUUGGACAAUGGGGGCAACCCUGAUCCAGCCAUGCCGCGUGAGUGAAGAAGGCCU